rnacentral:lncRNA from 1 species
CACUAUGCCUGAGGGAUGCUUCAUCUGCUAUCUCAUUUGAAGUUCAUUUGGUCCUCCUAUAUAAGUGUGAUUUGUGGUUCCCCACAACCUUGACCCAAUUAUGCAUCAUGAUAGUUUCACACUCUCAAUGUCCACUUUUAAUUUCUUGUUUUAUGGUGAUAAAAUUUCAGUUACCAGCAUUUCUUGUCCUUCAAUAUAAGUCUGUCUUUUACAAACAGCAGCAAUUUUAUCUGAGAGUAGCCGCCUACCUUCUUCUGUAACUUAUUGUUUGUUUUAUACAGAGUUGCUGUAUGCUCUGCUAAUUUCUACUGAUUGCUCUUUAAUUUCUUCCCUGCUUCAUGUGCUAUCAUGUUUUAAGCUUAUUGCUUUGAUGCAAUUGAUACGGAAUUGCCUUCAACUUAUUUAUGAGCUUUGUGUUCUUUCUUCAGCAUUUCUUGGUGAGGUCCUGACCACUGUGCCAUAAUUGCAUAUUUGCAUCAAACUAAUCGAUGGAUGUACUCAGCUUUGUUAUGUUUGUGCAAUGUCACAGACUACUACAUGGGUACUAGCUAGAGAGAAUUGCUGCCCAUCAUGUCUCAAAAAAGUUGGUGUGGAAACUUGUUAAAGGUAUGCUUUCUUCAGAAGAAUACAAGAAAUGAUUGUGAUAAUGAUCACCUGAUUAUUUUCCAUAGGUUAUUUUAUUUUUUUUCAGUCUACUGAUGGAUUCAUUAUUAAACAUGUGCAGAUGUUCUUAAUUCAGUCAGGGGGAAGGCCAAAAGGGGGACGCCAUCAGUAAUUUACUUUGGCAGUGUCUGUAGAACUGCAUUCAGAGGUCAUUGUGAGGGUUGCUUUUUUACUCUAUGUGCAUUCUAUAUCUAUGCGUGCAACAGGACAUUUGUUAGGACCAACAGCAAUGUGGCACUAAGAAUUUCUCACCACAAACUACAAAUAUGUACAUACUUCAGAUUUUCUCUAGAUUGUAGUUGAAAUGUUUUGAGGAUAUUCAUUGUUACCAUCCAUUAUGACAAUUGUAAUUUUCUUUUCUGUUUGCUGAAUUAUCUGUGCAUGCCAUUAU